AGUGAACGCUGGCGGUAGGCCUAACACAUGCAAGUCGAACGGCAGCACAGUAAGAGCUUGCUCUUACGGGUGGCGAGUGGCGGACGGGUGAGGAAUACAUCGGAAUCUACUUUUUCGUGGGGGAUAACGUAGGGAAACUUACGCUAAUACCGCAUACGACCUACGGGUGAAAGCAGGGGAUCUUCGGACCUUGCGCGAUUGAAUGAGCCGAUGUCGGAUUAGCUAGUUGGCGGGGUAAAGGCCCACCAAGGCGACGAUCCGUAGCUGGUCUGAGAGGAUGAUCAGCCACACUGGAACUGAGACACGGUCCAGACUCCUACGGGAGGCAGCAGUGGGGAAUAUGGGACAAUGGGCGCAAGCCUGAUCCAGCCAUACCGCGGGGGUGAAGAAGGCCUUCGGGUUGUAAAGCCCUUUUGUUGGGAAAGAAAAGCAGCAGGUUAAUACCCCGCUGUUCUGACGGGACCCAAAGAAUAAGCACCGGCGAACUGCGU
rnacentral:rRNA from 1 species